ACUGCUCGUGGUAAGUGGCUUCGUGGUCUUUAUAGCUGUUACUCUUUUGUACUUUGUCUUUUUCUUUUAUUUUCUUUUGAGCGAUUGUGCGAACAUAGCAUAGCACGCACUAUGCCUUCUGUGUUGUAGCUGCCUGGCCAGGGCGACUGGCGGAUAAGGUCUUGUGCGUGGCCUCGAGGCUUAAAAGUAGCAGUGGGGCUUUGUGAAGGACAAAAUGGCGAUGGCGGGCCGUGUAGGUCCCCCUUCCUAUGAUGAGGACCUUUUCACAGACCUGUACUGAGCUCCGUGAGGAUAAAUAACUCUGAGGAGAUGGGCCCUGCAAGCCUCUUGCUUAGCCGUCUGUUCAGAAAAUAGCGUUUUCGAAAUGCCCUGAGUUGACCUAAUGUCUUAUUGGGCUCCUGUCUGCAGGAUUUACGCGCACGUUGGAACCGAAGAGAGCUCUGUUGUUGCAAUGUUCAGCCCACAAGAGCUUACUGGUGAAGGAAUGGGACAAGACCCAUCUUUAUGCAAAGCCAGCGUUACAGUAAUGUUCCAGCAUCUCAUAAUCUAUCCUGGGGAAUUCAGCUGCCUCCCAGGGUGAAUACAGGUAUUCCUGAUGACAGUCUGCCUCUAUCUUACAGUACUACUAACCAAUAACCUGCUUGGCUCAAAGGGCCAGCACCUUCUCUCUAAAGCCCAAGAGGAGUUUGAGGAAAACUAGGUGUCUGUGUUCACUCCAGGCUGAAGUUACAGGUCUGAGCAAAUAAGGUGUAUAAAAAAUGGAAUCUGUCUUGGAGGACAUCAGAAGGUGAAUUUUCCAAGUUCUUGGACAACCUAGCUGUUGAAAAGCUUUCUGGGUUUGGGGGGUAUUUCAGAUGUACCUUAAAGUGUUAGCAGACACAGAUUAAGACACUGGGAGCCAAUGAAACAGCAGUUGAGGGUUUGCUGUGUAUCACAUUUCUGUAUUUUAUCACCCCCUUCCUGCAACAUUAUUUAUCUGGAAUCUACCUGCCCUUUUGUUUUUUAGAUACAAGGGCUUGGUUUUGUUACCCAGGCUGGUUUCAAGGCCAUAGCUUUAAGAGAUCCUCUCACCACAGAUUUCCAAAGUGCUGGGAUUGCAGGUGUGAUUCAUGGCACCCAGACUUUGCUGCCUUUCUUACAUGAUCCAGGCCCAGAACCCAAACUCAGGCACUGUAUAGAUGACCACUUUCGUAAACUACUGACCUAGCUUGUUGCCAAUUGUUGAUUGAACUUCCCAUAACUCCACUUCGUGUCUGUUCCUCUGUAUACAGCCACCUUCUGUUCCCGUCAUGAGCCUUUAGGUCUCCAUUUGCAUAUUGCAAAUACUAUGUUCCAUGUAGGUAGCUCAUUCAGGGCCUUGCUCUUCACUUCAAAAAAGGUUCCCUUGAGGACUGGCUGUCAAUUUGUGUUGCUGUGUUGGUUGUUGAUGAAAAUAAUAAAAUGAUUGAUUACAUA
rnacentral:lncRNA from 10 species